rnacentral:rRNA from 1 species
GACGAACGCUGGCGGCGUGCUUAACACAUGCAAGUCGAACGGAAAGGCCCUGCUUUUGUGGGGUGCUCGAGUGGCGAACGGGUGAGUAACACGUGAGUAACCUGCCCUUGACUUUGGGAUAACUUCAGGAAACUGGGGCUAAUACCGGAUAGGAGCUCCUGCUGCAUGGUGGGGGUUGGAAAGUUUCGGCGGUUGGGGAUGGACUCGCGGCUUAUCAGCUUGUUGGUGGGGUAGUGGCUUACCAAGGCUUUGACGGGUAGCCGGCCUGAGAGGGUGACCGGCCACAUUGGGACUGAGAUACGGCCCAGACUCCUACGGGAGGCAGCAGUGGGGAAUAUUGCACAAUGGGCGGAAGCCUGAUGCAGCAACGCCGCGUGCGGGAUGACGGCCUUCGGGUUGUAAACCGCUUUCGCCUGUGACGAAGCGUGAGUGACGGUAAUGGGUAAAGAAGCACCGGCUAACUACGUGCCAGCAGCCGCGGUGAUACGUAGGGUGCGAGCGUUGUCCGGAUUUAUUGGGCGUAAAGGGCUCGUAGGUGGUUGAUCGCGUCGGAAGUGUAAUCUUGGGGCUUAACCCUGAGCGUGCUUUCGAUACGGGUUGACUUGAGGAAGGUAGGGGAGAAUGGAAUUCCUGGUGGAGCGGUGGAAUGCGCAGAUAUCAGGAGGAACACCAGUGGCGAAGGCGGUUCUCUGGGCCUUUCCUGACGCUGAGGAGCGAAAGCGUGGGGAGCGAACAGGCUUAGAUACCCUGGUAGUCCACGCUGUAAACGGUGGGUACUAGGUGUGGGGUCCAUUCCACGGGUUCCGUGCCGUAGCUAACGCUUUAAGUACCCCGCCUGGGGAGUACGGCCGCAAGGCUAAAACUCAAAGGAAUUGACGGGGCCCCGCACAAGCGGCGGAGCAUGCGGAUUAAUUCGAUGCAACGCGUAGAACCUUACCUGGGUUUGACAUGGAUCGGGAGUGCUCAGAGAUGGGUGUGCCUCUUUUGGGGUCGGUUCACAGGUGGUGCAUGGCUGUCGUCAGCUCGUGUCGUGAGAUGUUGGGUUAAGUCCCGCAACGAGCGCAACCCUUGUUCACUGUUGCCAGCACGUUAUGGUGGGGACUCAGUGGAGACCGCCGGGGUCAACUCGGAGGAAGGUGGGGAUGACGCCAAGUCAUCAUGCCCCUUAUGUCCAGGGCUUCACGCAUGCUACAAUGGCUGGUACAGAGAGUGGCGAGCCUGUGAGGGUGAGCGAAUCUCGGAAAGCCGGUCUCAGUUCGGAUUGGGGCCUGCAACUCGACCUCAUGAAGUCGGAGUCGCUAGUAAUCGCAGAUCAGCAACGCUGCGGUGAAUACGUUCCCGGGGACU